UCCUCUGUAGUUCAGUCGGUAGAACGGCGGACUGUUAAUCCGUAUGUCACUGGUUCGAGUCCAGUGAGAGGAG
rnacentral:tRNA from 1 species